ACCACAGCCCCCUCAGCUGCUCCUUAUAAGAUUUGUGCUCCAGACCCUUCACCAGCUUUGUUGCUCUUUGGAUGCUCACCAGCACCUCAGUGUCUUUCUUGUAUGUUAUGCCCAUCUCACCUAUGAAAUUUCUAGCUCAUGAAAACUAUUGCAGAUCACAUGUUUGGCCUCUAUCUUAUGGUGACAGUUACAUGCUUUCAGAUUUUUUUGGAAAGAGCAUUUUGACAGUUGCCUGUAUUGGCAAUGUUACUUUACACCAUUUAAAAUCAGUGUCUUUUUAGGUAUUUUUAGAAACAGGUCAGACAGAUUUGUGAUGCUUUUUCAGAAAAAUUAUGAAUAUAUAAUAUGUGUUGUGUGAAACAGAGAAAAUGGGAUGACCUCUUUGGCAAUAUCCAGCUUGGAAACUUGUGCUUUAAUGUGAGGUUUAUAAUUUCCUUUGGUAUGAAUGUUCCAUAAAGAAAAGUAAGCUCUUUGUCUUCAUAAACACAUUAAGAAAAGCUUGCCUGGAAUCAAGGUAAUUUCAGAUAAAUUACACCUCUUGGAGUCUGUUCGCUCCUCUGCUGGAAAAAUAUAUAGGUGUCAUCUGUCAAGUACUGUGUUUCUUUUAUAUUAAACACAACUAGGGCUGCUGGGUGGUAAGUGGGAGGCUUAGAGUGGACAGGGUGAGAUUUAUUAUUUCUUUUAGACUGAUGGUUGUUGCUGUGUUUAAUUCAACAUUCUUGAAUUUUCCAAAGACUUCACAUUUUACUGGAACCAGUAGAAGAUGGUGGAAGUUGUGGGUUUUAUACAGUUCUAGAAAAUCAGACCUUCAGUCUCAAACUAGCACUUAUUAGUAUUUCUGAAUUCUAGUUUUAAUUUUUUAUUAAGUCAGAAAUUAGUAAAAAUUUGUUCUAUAGCUUACCAGUAAAAUGCAACAAUAAAGCAUUCACUAACUGCCUUGCUGGUGUUAAUAUCCCCCACUGGAGAGUUGAGAUUUUUUUUCUUUGUUUUCUUUAUUUUUUAUAGGGCUGCCUUCCAGUUACAGGUUUCAAGAGUUACCUGCUUUCCAGAUCUGAAUGGAAUUCUUCUGCAUCAGGACAGUCAGUAACUUAUUCUUGGGAGAUGCAGAAAGUCAUGCUGUAGAUUCUUUUGGAAGUCUAAGGACUUCCGCAGUUGUAGAAUCUUUUUCCUAUUUAAAUAUCUGCCACCAGCUGAUCAAAUCAUGCUCUUCUGAAACCUUUGCCAAAAUUUGAUUUGUGCAGUGUUGGUGGUAGAUAUGUUGAAUGGAGUUGGGUAUGUUAGGACUUGGCACUGUGUUAAAAAUAGUAUUUUGAAAUAAAUUAUUUGCUGCACUGUAGGAAGGCUUAUUCAGGAACGAGCAUAAUGGGUUGGUGCUAACAUCCAUCUUGUCCAGUACUUUGAUCCUGACAGUUAUGAACAGCAAAGGCUACAGAGGAACUAAUUUUGGGGCCGGUGCCAUAAUCUCCAUUCUAUGUUGGCAAGAAGCCUAUUCUUGGUAUUCUAAAGAUUUGCUGAAGCUCUGAAGCAUGAAGCUUGCUAUCUUUUGAAGAAAAAUAAAACAAUUUUGAUUCCUCUGGUUGCGUUAUGAAAACAUCUGUUCCACCUUCACAUAUUUGUAGACUCUUGUCUCAGUGACUUUAUAUAGCAGUGAGUUCUACUGACACUAUAUGGUGAUUUUUUUUUCCUUUAUAAGAAAGGUUUUUUUCUUUUUCUUAACAGAAGGGACAAUUGUUCCUGCUCAGCCCUUUCAGUAUCAUUAUUUCAUUUCUCUGCAGUUAAUCUAAAUAUCUAGUAAGCUGUACUGUUUACAAAAAUUAAAGAGGGUUCUGUGUCCAGUUGAUUAUCAUGACAGACUGUGGGAAAAGCCUGAGUUUAGCUGGCUUAAUCUUGUCUUAUGUAGGCAACUUGGGACAAUAGAUCAUUGCAGAAAGUUGUUUUACAGACAUCAUUUAAGCCACUUAUAUUUUUGCAUACCCUCUUCAAAGUAAAUUUUGGUAAUAGCUGGCAGUAUGCCUUUGAAUCAAAACACUGACAUUCACUAUUGUCAGUGACUGUUCUCAGACUGCAUAUGAAUAGCCUGUGUACAUGGCUGAAAUGGUAGCGUCUUUUUAGGAAUAAUUUGUGUUUAGAGCCAGUUGUUUCCCACAGAAAAUAAAAAAGGUCUUAUAAUUGUUUUGGUAAGCUAGUGUGCUUUUGCUUUGUCCUGUCUUACUUUUGCAUACAUUUAUCUGAACUACUUUUCAUAGGACUGUUCAGCAGAAAGCAGGUAUCACCUAAUUGAUACUUACAGCUGUUGGACUUCUGUAAGAAAUGUUACUUUGUUUCUCCUGCAUGAUAUCUACAUUUUUGUGGGUUCGUUUGUUGUGGGGUUUUGUUCAUUUUUUAAUGCAAAGCAAAGCAAGUACUUUUGUUCCAUGCACUUGGUGAAAUGUGUGCUAAACUUGUGCUUUAUUCUUUCUUGUCAGGUUGUCCCUUGCUGUUGUACUUGAAGAGGUGACCAUUUGCUAUUUGUGUUCCUGAGUUGUUUGGCUACUUCUGUUUAUUCCUCCCACUGUCAAAGAAUGCAACAAAGUUCUGUCUACACAGAAAGGAAAUGCUACAAGUAAUCCAGCCUGUUGACAGGAAGAUCAGUAAGUGGGAAAUAUGUGAUGAGAUGUUAGGCUCAAUAAAACUAUGAAAUGAAGUGA